AGAAUUUGAUCUUGGUUCAGGAUGAACGCUGGCGGCGUGCUUAACACAUGCAAGUCGAGCGAAGCGAUUCAAAUGAAGUUUCGGAUGGAUUUUGAAUUGACUUAGCGGCGGACGGGUGAGUAACGCGUGGGUAACCUGCCUCAUACAGGGGGAUAACAGUUGGAAACGGCUGCUAAUACCGCAUAAGCACACAGUGCCGCAUGGUACGGUGUGAAAAACUCCGGUGGUAUGAGAUGGACCCGCGUCUGAUUAGGUAGUUGGUGAGGUAACGGCCCACCAAGCCGACGAUCAGUAGCCGACCUGAGAGGGUGACCGGCCACAUUGGGACUGAGACACGGCCCAAACUCCUACGGGAGGCAGCAGUGGGGAAUAUUGGACAAUGGGGGAAACCCUGAUCCAGCGACGCCGCGUGAGUGAAGAAGUAUUUCGGUAUGUAAAGCUCUAUCAGCAGGGAAGAAAAUGACGGUGCCUGACUAAGAAGCCCCGGCUAACUACGUGCCAGCCGCUGC
rnacentral:rRNA from 1 species